UACAAGGGCUUGUGGCUGUGGGUUUCUUAGGGAACUUCCCUUACGUCUCUCCUUCAGAGACUGGCUUAGGAAGUUUUGAUACACAGAGCCACUGGGCUGAGGACUCUUCGAUACUGAGACAGUAGAGCUAACGAGCAAGGACCAUCCUUCCCUUCUUGUAGCCAUGGAGCGACAAGGGAGCAACGAAGCUUGUGCAGGAGGAUAGCAGGAAGGGGAAAAAUGAGUGCAGUCCCCUAUUACCACAAAUUAUGCAGUUGAGUUUCCUGGAUGUGAGGAAAUCUCAGGGCCAGCACAUCAGACUGCAAGAGACAGGCCUUACCCUGGGAACGCCAUCUUCUUGACCUUGCCAUUGCCCUGGCAAGUGAACAUCACUGAUUAGUUUGUAACACAGGGCCUGGCAAGAUCAAGGCCUUCCUUGACCUUGCAACCUUCUUGCCUCAGUCUCCUCACACCUGGCUUUAGGAUGUCAAUUUCUUCAAGUAUAUUAAAUAUGACAAUGAAACAUA